rnacentral:rRNA from 1 species
AGUGAACGCUGGCGGUAGGCCUAACACAUGCAAGUCGAACGGCAGCACAGUAAGAGCUUGCUCUUACCGGUGGCGAGUGGCGGACGGGUGAGGAAUACAUCGGAAUCUACUUUUUCGUGGGGGAUAACGUAGGGAAACUUACGCUAAUACCGCAUACGACCUACGGGUGAAAGCAGGGGAUCUUCGGACCUUGCGCGAUUGAAUGAGCCGAUGUCGGAUUAGCUAGUUGGCGGGGUAAAGGCCCACCAAGGCGACGAUCCGUAGCUGGUCUGAGAGGAUGAUCAGCCACACUGGAACUGAGACACGGUCCAGACUCCUACGGGAGGCAGCAGUGGGGAAUAUUGGACAAUGGGCGCAAGCCUGAUCCAGCCAUACCGCGUGGGUGAAGAAGGCCUUCGGGUUGUAAAGCCCUUUUGUUGGGAUAGAAAAGCAGCAGGUUAAUACCCCGCUGUUCUGACGGUACCCAAAGAAUAAGCACCGGCUAACUUCGUG